rnacentral:rRNA from 1 species
UACGGGGGGGGGGCAAGCGUUGUUCGGAAUUACUGGGCGUAAAGGGCUCGUAGGCGGCCAACUAAGUCGGAUGUGAAAUCCCCCAGGCUUAACCUGGGAACUGCAUCCGAUACUGGAUGGCUUGAAUCCGGGAGAGGGAUGCAGAAUUCCAGGUGUAGCGGUUGAAAUGCGUAGAUAUCUGGGAGGAAUACCGGGUGGCGAAAGGCGGCAUCCUGGACCGGCAUUGAC